rfam:Triticum urartu cultivar G1812 contig227771, whole genome shotgun sequence.
GUGUUACUCCCUCCGUUCCAAAUUACUCGUCGUAGAAAUGGAUGUAUCUAGAACUAAAAUACAUCUAGAUACAUCCAUACUUGUGACAAGUAAUUCGGAACGGAGGGAGUAAUAC